rfam:Salmo salar isolate Sally breed double haploid chromosome ssa13, whole genome shotgun sequence.
UAUGCGCAUGACUAAGUAAGUCGCUUUGGAUAAAAGUGUCUGCUAAAUGUCAUAUG